UACGUAGGGACCGAGCGUUGUCCGGAAUCAUUGGGCGUAAAGAGCGUGUAGGCGGCUCGCUAAGUCUUGCGUGAAAUCUCGGGGCUCAACCCCGAGCGGUCGUGAGAAACUGGCGGGCUAGAGUGCGGGAGAGGAGAGUGGAAUUCCUGGUGUAGCGGUGAAAUGCGCAGAUAUCAGGAAGAACACCCGUGGCGAAGGCGGCUCUCUGGAACGCAACUGACGCUGAGACGCGAAAGCGUGGGGAGCGAACAGG
rnacentral:rRNA from 1 species